ACCAGAGUGGUGUAGUGGUUUGAGUGUUGGACUGCAAAUCUGGAGUCCAGGUUUGAUCCUGGCUCAGGCA